rnacentral:rRNA from 1 species
GACAGAGGGUGCAAACGUUGUUCGGAAUUAUUGGGCGUAAAGGGCUCGUAGGCGGUCCGUCACGUCGGGAGUGAAAACUCAGGGCUCAACCCUGAGCGUGCUUCCGAUACGGGCGGACUAGAGGUAUGCAGGGGAGAACGGAAUUCCUGGUGUAGCGGUGGAAUGCGCAGAUAUCAGGAGGAACACCGGUGGCGAAGGCGGCGUUCUGGACUGUAACUGACACUGAUGAACGAAAGCCAGGGGAGCAAACGGG